GACUGCAACCUAAAGUGAUUGUAGAUGGAGAAAUAGUGUGUCUAAGAAAAGGUGUGUUUGUUGGUGGUUUCGAUGAAGUCUGUGUGAGUGAACAGUCUGAUUUUGGUGAUUGACUUGUGUAUGUCAGAUUCUGAAAUGUGUGUAACUGUAUACCAUGGACUUGUACAGCACAUUGGCAAUGUGUGGUCACCUCUCCAACUUUCAGUUAGUAUGCUCAAAAUAUUUUCUUUAUUAAAAUGAUUUGACACAUUUUGCUCUUUUAAUAUAUUUGUCAUUGAGUAAGAAUACUUUUGGAACUUUAAAAUUUAAUUUUUAUUUAUAUAAAGUAUAUAGAUUAUGUAAGUUAAAAAGUUUUGUCUCUUUUUUAGCAGGGGCCGUCAAAAUUAGCAAAACAAAAAAGAGGGAAUUUUCUAGAAGCAGAUAAAAUUUUGAUGCUGACUUUUAAAGAAAAGAUGUGGAAGACAAUUCUGUGCAAGAUGACAAAGAAAUGGCAAAUAGCAAAACAAUGUAUUUCAUUAGCUUACAGGAGUGGGAUUUUUAAAAAUGGGACUUUUCCUGACUUAUAUUUUUGCUAAGAAAGUUAUUUAUUUGUACUUCAUUCUCUUGUAGCAUGUUUAACUUAUUGCAUGAUGGAAUAUUGAGUGAUACAUAGUGCAAGUUCUGAUAUGUAUGAAAUAGGUAAGAACUAGUAUGAACUAGAAAAGAUGCAGAAUCAAUACUAUUCACUUUUCCCGACUUGCCUUCUGAUCAUUCUUUUGUUGCAAGAACUUGCCCCUAUAGAUUAUUUUGUGAAAAUAUUUUUCAAUCAUUCUCUGUAGUAAUAAAAUAACAGCAAGGCAUCAGAGACACACAGUGUAAGUAUGAUCAGAAAAAAAUAAUGGGAUUUAUUUACUUGAAAGAAAAAACUUUUUUUCAGGUUGGGAUAUUAUUGAAGAAAAAAGUAAUUGAAAAAUUAUUAUUUUUCACAGCAGUGGAGGUUUACCAUUCUUGCCAAAGCAUUCACUAUUUAAGAUUUGAUGUCCAGAGCCAGUCUUUAAGAUGAAAAAUUUGGGCUCAUUUCCUGGAGCCUUGGCCAGUGGAGAUGACAGUUAAUUUAAGAGCUGUGCAACUGUUCCUGUGUGUAGACAAGAUGAGAACAAAAGCUCAUCUCAUGCUCAUACUGGGGCUAACUGAAAUUACUGGCUUGUAAGAGAGAAAAAUGUAUUCUUUGGAGUGGCAAAAAGCAUGGCCAUUAAGACUUCCAUUUGAGAUCUGGGAAACUUCAGCGACUCCCUGGUUUUAAUCAGCUGCAUUUUUUAUUCAGACCGGGAAGUUAAAUUAGGUCCUCUCCCGACCUACAUAACUUCCUCAAGCAAGAGUGAUUCCUUUCUGUGGGGUAGCUCUGGAAGGCAUCAAGGAGAUGAAACGAGCGAGGUUCUGGUGAAUGCUUAAUCCCUCGCACGGGUCUGCUCCCCAAGGAGGGACUGAGAAGUGCCCUGCAGCAGGCCUGUGGUGCUCAGUUCGGGAUAUUGGCCUGCCAAGAAAUCCAUUCAGGCCUCCCGAGCCCAGUACCCUCAACAUCAGACUACAGGAUAGUAGAACUUAUCUGUCUCUUGUUCAAAGCACGUUGUGUUUUCUGUUGUGGGAAAAGGAGAUAAUAAAAACAAGCAGUUUUGUGUCAUGGGAAAGAGCUUUCUUCCCAUCUUUGCUUUUGAGUGGAUCAAGGGAGUUUCUGUUCUAAUGGAAUAUCUUGUUCCAGGAUUUAUGAUACUAUCUGGCUCCUGAACCAAAGAUACUUACCUGCCUUUUCAGACCCAGAAAUAGCUUUUUAAAAUGGGAAAAGUGGUUUUAUUUCAGGUUUUUACUCUUGGUCAUUGCCUGUAUGACUACUUUUCAUUUCUAAACAUGCUAUUCUUAACAAUAUAGGUUUGAUUUAUCCGGUAGAGAGUUGUUUACUUUAUGUAUGCUGCUGAUAGAGAUUCCAAGUCAGGGACCCUAUUAGAAAUAAUUACUCUUGAAGGGUAAAAUGGAAUUUUAAAAGGUGCAUGAUAAAAGAAGUUGCAUUUAAUUUCUGUUUACACUGAAAUAAUUAAUUUAUAGCAUUAUAUCCUAGAAAGAUAAUUCUGCAUAGGUGACAACUUCAAUUUAAUUAGAAAGCUCCUGUAUUAUAGAAACGCCUUCCACAGAGAGUAGUUUCUGUAUUUGUCAGAUAAGCAGUAUACAUCAUGGACUAAGGAUCUAAUCAAGAUUUCAAGACACUGAAAGGUAAGCACUUUAAAAAUUCUAAAAUGAUUUAAAUUUUUUUAUACAGAAAAAUGGAAGAAUAUUAAUAUAUCUAUUUAAUUUUCAGUUUAGUUUUGAUUUCACCUUAAAGUACUAGAAACUCCUCAAAGAGCCCAUUUGAACCAAAAUUGAAAGGAUUGUAGAGAAAAUUGGCAGAAGAUGUUAACAACAUGGCCCAGAGCUCCACUUGUAGGAUUCACAGCACAAAGACUGCAGAUACUUGUCUCUAAGUGGUUUUUUCCCUCCAUUGAAUUCAAGUGAAGGAGAAGAAUAGGGAACAAGAGAAAUUAACAGCAGCAUCAAUGUCUGCAUUUCACAAAACCAGCCCUGGCACAUCAAUGGAGAGACUGGAGUUGUCCAAGAAAUAAGGAGGUAUUGGAAUUCUCCAGUAUGGAAGAUAUGGAUAUGUGGACCUUAUUUAAAUGAAGGACUACAGCACAGACGUUAUUCAUGCUAAUACAGAUUUUGUGUGACUUACUGAAAGAUCUUGAAUGAAGUCACAGUACUUGCAACCUGGGUGGAAGCCAUGAUGAAGCCUCCUGGACUCCAAAAGCAGUCAGCAUAUAUCCCAGAAGUAAACACUGACAGUGCACCCAUGAAGAUCAGGAUAUCUUUCAGUUUCAUUGCAGCUGGAGUCAGUGACUUCAUACUGAAAAAGGUUGGUUUUUAGACUACAGACCAUGACAGUUUGUAACAGUGA